rnacentral:rRNA from 1 species
UACGGAGGGUGCAAGCAUUAAUCGGAUUUAUUGGGCGUAAAGGGCGCGUAGGCGGCCGCAUAAGUCAGAUGUGAAAUCCUGGGGCUCAACCUCAGAACAGCAUUUGAAACUAUGUGGCUAGAGGGUAGUCGGAGAAAACGGAAUUCCACAAGUAGCGGUGAAAUGCGUAGAUAUGUGGAAGAACAUCUGUGGCGAAGGCGGUUUUCUAGAUUACUCCUGACGCUGAGGCGCGAAAGCAAGGGGAGCAAACAGG